rnacentral:lncRNA from 1 species
AGAACAUCUAUGGAUUCUAAAAGACUACGGAGAGAAUCAGAGAGAGCACUACACUGGUCAAUUACAGGACUUUCCUGCCCUGGCACAUCUCACCUGCUAACUUUUGUAAGAGCUCAGCAACAAGAAACUCAGAAUAUCCAUUUAUAAUAAUAAACAUGAUUAGUGAAAUUAAAAAAAAAGAACA